GGCUCGGUAGCUUAGUUGGUAAAGCGCUCGUCUAGCAUACAAGAGUCCUGUGUUCGAGUCCCAUCCGAGUAC
rfam:Aedes aegypti strain Liverpool supercont1.533 genomic scaffold, whole genome shotgun sequence.